rnacentral:rRNA from 1 species
ACUCCUACGGGAGGCAGCAGUGGGGAAUAUUGCACAAUGGGGAAACCCUGAUGCAGCCAUGCCGCGUGUGUGAAGAAGGCCUUCGGUUGUAAAGCACUUUCAGUAGGGAGGAAGGUAGUGUAGUUAAUACCUGCAUUAUUUGACGUUACCUACAGAAGAAGCACCGGCUAACUCCGUGCCAGCAGCCGCGGUAAUACGGAGGGGUGCGAGCGUUAAUCGGAAUUACUGGGCGUAAAGCGCAUGCAGGCGGCCUGUUAAGUCAGAUGUGAAAGCCCGGGGGCUUAACCUCGGAAUUGCAUUUGAAACUGGCAGGCUAGAGUCUUGUAGAGGGGGUAGAAGUUUCAGGUGUAGCGGUGAAAUGCGUAGAGAUCUGAAGGAAUACCAGUGGCGAAGGC